GCCACGCCCCCCAGCGCCAGUCUUUCAAGAUGGCGGCCGUGUGGAAGAAGGGACGUACGCUGACAGUUGUCAGAGUACUUCUUCUUAUCGUCUAUGUCAAUUUAAUGUCCAGCGGUUCUGAUUCGGCCUCCAUUAAUCCUCCGGGCAGUGAUCCAUCUGCAACAUCAGACGGCAAAAAGCAGGAUGACGGUACAACACAUACUGCAUCAUACACCCAUGUUCAAGAAGAUCCAGACAAUUCCCCCAAAACCUCUGAGGUAGUGCAUGAGGCCCCAGGAUUGGAGUCAGAUUCUAAAAUGACUGCUCAUGAGAAAGACACUUCUGUGAACAAAGCUGAAGUAGUACUAGAGAGUCCCAAGGACCUGGCUCCAGAGAGUCCCAAGGACCUGGCUCCAGAGAGUCCCAAGGACCUGGCUCCAGAGAGUCCCAAGGACCUGGCUCCAGAGAGUCCCAAGGACCUGGCUCCAGAGAGUCCCAAGGACCUGGCUCCAGAGAGUCCCAAGGACCUGGCUCCAGAGAGUCCCAAGGACCUGGCUCCAGAGAGUCCCCAGGACCUGGCUCCAGAGAGUCCCCAGGACCUGGCUCCAGAGAGUCCCCAGGACCUGGCUCCAGAGAGUCCCAAGGACCUGGCUCCAGAGAGUCCCAAGGACCUGGCUCCAGAGAGUCCCAAGGACCUGGCUCCAGAGAGUCCCAAGGACCUGGCUCCAGAGAGUCCCAAGGACUUGGCUCCAGAGAGUCCCAAGGACUUGGCUCCAGAGAGUCCCAAGAAUUGGCUCCAGAGAGUCCCGAGGAAUUGGCUCCAGAGAGUCCCGAGGAAUUGGCUCCAGAGAGUCCCGAGGAAUUGGCUCCAGAGAGUCCCGAGGAAUUGGCGGAAAAGAAUCCCGAGGAAUUGGCGGAAAAGAAUCCCGAGGAAUUGGCGGAAAAGAAUCCCGAGGAAUUGGCGGAAAAGAAUCCCGAGGAAUUGGCGGAAAAGAAUCCCGAGGAAUUGGCGGAAAAGAAUCCCGAGGAAUUGGCGGAAAAGAAUCCCGAGGAAGCGGCUGAAAAGGAUCCCGAGGAAGCAAUUCCUCAGAAUCCCAAGGAAGUGGCUAAAGAGAUCCUAG
rnacentral:lncRNA from 1 species